rnacentral:pre_miRNA from 1 species
CACAUACUACCUCCGUCCGAAAAUACUUGUCAUCAAAAUAAAUAAAAGGGAAUGUAUCUAUAUGUAUAUUAGUUCUAGGUACAUCUCUUUUUAUCUAUUUUGAUGACAAGUAUUUUCGGACGAAGGGAGUAUCUG